rnacentral:rRNA from 1 species
AUGUCAUUAAGUGACAAUGAACUUGAAGAAUGUUGCACAAAAUUUGCAGAAACUUUCUCUCUUAAUGGUUCAUCUAAUGUUGAGGUAUACAAUCUUAUUUCUGAAUUGAUGAUUAUAAGAUUCACUUUGCCAGAUGGUGUAAUGUCUGCUAUGGAGAUUUUCGGGCAUGCCAGAGAAGUUGAUUGUUAUCCCAAUAUCUCCAUUGUCUAUCACAUCUUAUUUACUGUGCUUGUGACGGUCGCAUCGGCCGAAAGAAGCUUUUUGAAGUUGAAUUAUUGA